AUUGAACGCUGGCGGCAUGCCUUACACAUGCAAGUCGAACGGCAGCGGGGGAGAAGCUUGCUUUUCCUGCCGGCGAGUGGCGAACGGGUGAGUAAUACAUCGGAACGUGCCCUGUAGUGGGGGAUAACUAGUCAAAAGAUUAGCUAAUACCGCAUACGACCUGAGGGUGAAAGUGGGGGACCGCAAGGCCUCAUGCUAUAGGAGCGGCCGAUGUCUGAUUAGCUAGUUGGUGGGGUAAAGGCCUACCAAGGCAACGAUCAGUAGCUGGUCUGAGAGGACGAUCAGCCACCCUGGGACUGAGACACGGCCCAGACUCCUACGGGAGGCAGCAGUGGGGAAUUUUGGACAAUGGGCGAAAGCCUGAUCCAGCAAUGCCGCGUGUGUGAAGAAGGCCUUCGGGUUGUAAAGCACUUUUGUCCGGAAAGAAAUGGCUCUGGUUAAUACCUGGGGUCGAUGACGGUACCGGAAGAAUAAGGACCGGCUAACUACGUGCCAGCCGCCGCAGUAA
rnacentral:rRNA from 1 species